rnacentral:lncRNA from 1 species
UGGCAUUGAACCUAGUGUUAGUAAACAUAGGUUGAGAUGAUAAGUGGCAUGAAACCUAGUGUUAAAGAACAUAGGUUGAGAGUCGAACCUAGAGUUAAAGUAAACCUAGGUUGUGUGAUAAAGGUAUUAAACCUAGAGUCAAGUAAACCUAGGCUGGAAAGGACAAUGGACCUAAGUAGGUCGACACUAUAGGGUUUAAGACCAACCCUUGAG